rnacentral:rRNA from 1 species
UACGUAGGGUGCGAGCGUUGUCCGGAAUCACUGGGCGUAAAGGGUGCGUAGGCGGGUCUUUAAGUCAGGGGUGAAAUCCUGGAGCUCAACUCCAGAACUGCCUUUGAUACUGAAGAUCUUGAGUUCGGGAGAGGUAAGUGGAACUCCGAGUGUAGAGGUGAAAUUCGUAGAUAUUCGGAAGAACACCAGUGGCGAAGGCGGCUUACUGGUCCGGUACUGACGCUGAGGUGCGAAAGCGUGGGGAGCAAACAGG